ensembl:lncRNA uncharacterized LOC100467314
GAACCUAAAAGAACAUGGAUCCAUGGAUGUAGAGACUGGAAAUUGAACAGUCUGCUCAACUGCCUCCAUCUUGAUUCCCCUACCCCCAUUUUAAGAUACAUGAGGCACUUUAAGAUUUUCAGAGAAGGGUGUCCAGCAAUAUUUUACAAUUUUUAGUGGGAGGGCUGUGAUCUGCUCCUUAAAAAGACAGCUGUGUUUUGGGUUUCAGGGCAAGGUACUAUUUUCAGAAUCCAGGUGGAGUCUUCACACAGUAAAACAAUGCCAAGAGAAAAGGAAGGAAAACAAAAAACUAAAGGAAUACCCGUGCCCAUCGUUCCAAUUCUUCAAAAGUUCCUGAAAACAUACGAGAAGCACUGUGCCCAGACGCAGACAUUUGUGUGUCCAGCCAUCAAACAGGACUUGAAAACCAGCAUCAGCAGUGAACGGAUUCUCAGGAAAUUUAUGCUUGUAAGACCUGAAGAGUCCCCGCCAAGCAUCCCACCAACUUCCUUGGAACCUUUGCUCAUGACAAUUCAAGAUGAGUGUUAUAUGCUGGGGAGAGAGAUCUGUAUCUGGAGCCUUCAGCUGAGCAACCCAGAGAUUGCCAGACUGGCCUCACUUCUGGAGUUGAGGGGGUGUGCCGCCUGCCCAUUUACCAGCCUGGAGCUCAUCAACUGCAGGAUGGAUCUGUGGUCCCUCGGGAGACUUGGGAGGGCUCUGCCAUGCAGCUGUCUGCGUUCUCUCGUCCUCGAUUACUGCAGAUUUGGAAAUGAAGAAAUUGAGAAUAUUUUCUCAGGCCUGGAGAACAACCAAAGGCUUCAAGUCCUCAGUCUGCGCUACUGUGGUCUGGGGCCGCAGAGCGGGCCACGGCUGGGCGCCAUCAUAUGCCAGAGCUCCAUCUGUGAGCUGCACCUUGAUGGCAAUUACUUACAGUGCUCCGGGGCUCUGGCUCUCCUCAGACCCGCAGCAGAGUACGCAGAGAAGCAGGGCAGAGACCAGCCGGCCACAUCCCCACCAGACCCUGGGAGUCCCCCUCAGCAGCUUCGGGUCAAACAGAGGGGAAGUUCAACUUUGAACCAGACUACAAAGUCACCUGGAGCUCUUCCAGGGAAAACCACUGCAGGGAAGGAGCGGAGGAAAAAAGGAAUCAAGAAAAAAAUAAAAGAUUUGACUGAAGCUGGCCCAUGGUUAGUGAAAUUGUAUUUGGCAGAUAAUGGCAUAGACAGAAAAGGAAAAGAAGGAGAAAAUGGCUUAUUGGAAUUCACUCAAAUUUUAACAUGCUUGAUCACAUACUCCGCUCACUUAAGGGAAAUUGACCUCGGAAACAAUGCCCUGGGAGAAAUGGCUGCUGCUGACAUACUUGAAGCACUGAGAGCCAGAAAGACAGGUAAACUCCCAGUCUUAAAAAUUAUAAUCACUCCUCAAGUCUCUUCAGACAUCUUCAGAUCUGUUUGGAAAAAUAGCAAGAAAUCUAGUAUUACCCGUAAAAAGAAGAAAGAGGUUAAAAACUGAAUAUGGAUGCCAUUUAUCUUUAUGGAUGCUAUCUAUUACCAUGGCCAACCAGACAUGUGUAAAAAGAUAUUGCUUGUUCUAUAAUAAUAGUUUUCACUGGAACCAAGCCCCUUUCAAGUUCUAAAAUUUGAUGACUGAUUUAUGUAAGUUCAAAGUAGUGUUAAUCCUAUUAUGCUUGUCAUUUUCUAAAAUGAGGGUUUCAGGGGCGCCUGGGUGGCACAGCGGUUAAGCGUCUGCCUUCGGCUCAGGGCGUGAUCCUGGCGUUGCGGGAUCGAGCCCCACAUCAGGCUCCUCUGCUAUGAGCCUGCUUCUUCCUCUCCCACUCCCCCUGCUUGUGUUCCCUCUCUCGCUGGCUGUCUCUCUGUCAAAUAAGUAAAUAAAAUCUUUAAAAAAAAAAUAAAAUAAAAUAAAUAAAUAAAUAAAAUAAAAUGAGGGUUUCAGAAGCUGGCCUUAGUAAAAAUAGGUAGGAUUCUUCUCUGGUGCUUCUCAUGUGCAUGUGAAAUUUAUAACUUGAAGGAAGUCACGAUCUUUAUCUAAGAAAGAAAGAAUUUUCUUUUGUAAGUAUAUCUAUAAUUGGGGACAAUAGGCAUAUUUGGAAAUAAUCACUUUCUGAAAGACAACAUCCCCCAAAAUGGGGAUCUUCCCCAAAUGAGGUAAUUUCUAAUCACUUUAACCGCCCCCCCCAAUGAAGAUGUCUGCUCCAUGGGAAAGAGAAGAGGUGUGGUUGACCAACGUAUGGAUGAUAAAUUGGAUUAGUUCUAAGUUAUAUGGCAUUACAAUAUGAUGCAGGGACGAAAAGUGUGGACUGGGGAAUGAAGUGGACUGGAAUUCUCGGUGGAAAACUGCUGCUUUCCAGUUGUGUGACAUUGGCCAAGUGAGGUUUCACUGAGCCUCAGUUUUCCCUGAUAAGAUACAGAUAAGAAUAGCACCUGUCUCAUUUGGUGAGCUCUGAAUGAGAUGACACAUGUCAAGAAUUUUUGAACAAUACUUGUUUCAUAGUACAUGCUCAAAUAUAAAUGUUAGUGGCAGUUAUUAUUGUUGAUGUUAGAAUUGAAUGAUUCAGUUAUUUCACUUGGAAAAGCUACACAAAAAAAAUAAAAAAGAAGAAAAACAGACUUAAGACCUUUCCAUUUUGAAGGAAAAAACAAAACAAAAAAACCCCCACAAAAAGCAAGUCUGGUGGGGCAUCUGGCUGGCUUAGUCGGUAGAGCAUAUGACUCUUGAUCUCAGGGUUGUGAGUUCAAGCCCCACAUUGGGUGUGGAGCCUACUCAAAAUAAAAAAUAGAGAAAGAAAGAAAUGAAUGCACAUAAAAAAAGGCAAGACUUAUUCAACUAUGUACAAAUCAAGUUCUGGCAAGUCUGUGGAACCAAACUAUGUGAAGGUGAGGGUGUUUAUAGUCAAUUAUGUUCACCCUUAAAUAUCUUAGCAUCUAGCUAGGAAGAUAAGAUCCUCAUAUGUUAAAAGUACGUAAUUAACAGAGUGUGAGAGUUGAAAUAAUAUAACAGAUCUUCAGAACUUAUAUAUCCAGUAUAUGAGGCCUCCUAAGAAAUUGUACCUGCUUUUAAAAAAAAAAAAAAAAAAGAUGAUUUUCAGAUUUGCCACUGACAUCCACUGGGUGGGAGUAUAAGAUCUGUGUGCCUCUUUAGAAGCCUUUUUUUUUUUUUUAAGAUUUUAUUUAUUUAUUUGAGAGAGAGAGAGCAUGGGGGGGGUGGCGGGGAGGCAGAGGGAGAGGGAGAAACAGACCCCUUGCCGAGCAGGGAGCCUGAUGCGGGGCUUGAUCCCAG